rnacentral:rRNA from 1 species
AGAGUUUGAUCCUGGCUCAGGAUGAACGCUAGCGGCAGACUUAAUACAUGUGAGUCGAGGGGCAGCGGAUCCCUCCGGGGAUGCCGGCGACCGGCGAACGGGUGAGUAACACGUAUGGAACCUACCCUUAACUGGGGAAUAGCCUUGAGAAAUCGAGGGUAAUGCCCCAUACCAUCUGAAAGAGGCAUCUCUUUCAGAUGAAAGCUCCGGCGGUUAAGGAUGGCCAUGCGGUCCAUUAGCUUGUUGGUGAGAUAACCGCUCACCAAGGCUACGAUGGAUAGCUGAUCUGAGAGGAUGAUCAGCCACAUUGGCACUGAGACACGGGCCAAACUCCUACGGGAGGCAGCAGUAGGGAAUCUUGGUCAAUUGGCGAAAGCCAGAACCAGUCAUGCCGCGUGCAGGAUGAAGGCCCUACGGGUCGUAAACUGCUUUUAUUCGGGAAGAAAAAGUCUGUUUCCACAGACCUUGACGGUACCGAUUGAAUAAGGACCGGCCAACUCCGUGCCAGCAGCCGCGGUAAUACGGAGGGUCCAAGCGUUAUCCGGAUUCACUGGGUUUAAAGGGUGCGCAGGCGGCCAAGUAAGUCAGUGGUGAAAGCCUUCGGCUC